UACGUAGGGUGCGAGCGUUAAUCGGAAUUACUGGGCGUAAAGCGUGCGCAGGCGGUUAUGCAAGACAGAUGUGAAAUCCCCGGGCUCAACCUGGGAACUGCAUUUGUGACUGCAUGGCUAGAGUGCGGCAGAGGGGGAUGGAAUUCCGCGUGUAGCAGUGAAAUGCGUAGAUAUGCGGAGGAACACCGAUGGCGAAGGCAAUCCCCUGGACCUGUACUGACGCUCAUGCACGAAAGCGUGGGGAGCAAACAGG
rnacentral:rRNA from 1 species